AACGCGAAGAACCUUACCGCCCCUUGCCAUGGGUGUCGCGAGUCCCAGAGAAGGGACUAUUCAGUUGGGGUGGACCCCACACAGGUGCUGCAUGGGUGUUGUCAGCUCGUGUUGUGAGAUGUUGGGUUAAGUCCCGCAACGAGCGCAACCCUCGUCUUCAGUUUCCAUCAGGUUAAGCUGGGCAUUUUGAAGAAACCGCCGGUGACAAGCGGGAGGAAGGGGGGGAGGACGUCAAGUCAUCAUGCCCCUUACGGGCGGGGCUCCCCACGUGCUACAAUGGUGACAACAGAGGGCAGCUAGCGGGCGAGGGCAUGAUAUUCCCAAAAACUCUUCUCAGUUCAGAUUGCAGUCUGCAACUCGGGUGCAUGAAGCUGGAAUCGCUAGUAAUCGCAGAUCAGCAUG
rnacentral:rRNA from 1 species